UUAACAGAAGCCAAAAAGAGGCUUGUUAUUGUUAAUAAUAGAAAUGAGUAAUCCUGUUAUU
rnacentral:tRNA from 1 species